UGCAAGUCGAGCGGACAGAUGGGAGCUUGCUCCCUGAUGUUAGCGGCGGACGGGUGAGUAACACGUGGGUAACCUGCCUGUAAGACUGGGAUAACUCCGGGAAACCGGGGCUAAUACCGGAUGGUUGUUUGAACCGCAUGGUUCAGACAUAAAAGGUGGCUUCGGCUACCACUUACAGAUGGACCCGCGGCGCAUUAGCUAGUUGGUGAGGUAACGGCUCACCAAGGCGACGAUGCGUAGCCGACCUGAGAGGGUGAUCGGCCACACUGGGACUGAGACACGGCCCAGACUCCUACGGGAGGCAGCAGUAGGGAAUCUUCCGCAAUGGACGAAAGUCUGACGGAGCAACGCCGCGUGAGUGAUGAAGGUUUUCGGAUCGUAAAGCUCUGUUGUUAGGGAAGAACAAGUGCCGUUCAAAUAGGGCGGCACCUUGACGGUACCUAACCAGAAAGCCACGGCUAACUACGUGCCAGCAGCCGCGGUAAUACGUAGGUGGCAAGCGUUGUCCGGAAUUAUUGGGCGUAAAGGGCUCGCAGGCGGUUUCUUAAGUCUGAUGUGAAAGCCCCCGGCUCAACCGGGGAGGGUCAUUGGAAACUGGGGAACUUGAGUGCAGAAGAGGAGAGUGGAAUUCCACGUGUAGCGGUGAAAUGCGUAGAGAUGUGGAGGAACACCAGU
rnacentral:rRNA from 1 species